GUAUCCUCUGGCAGCUUGAGCCCCAAACGGAGCAAGAAAAAGGAGGAAGCCCAGGACCAGAUUAAGGUUCCCUGUGAAGAGGAGCGUUGUAUACUUAAGCCUGCUCAUCAAUAAUUCACCCCGCAUAGAGCCAAAGGCUGUCAUGGCUCCACUUCAAGAGAGUUGUCUCUCCACUUCUCAACCCGAGGAGAAGAAACACAAACCCUCCAUCAAAGUCAGGAUGUUCUCGGCCAUCAACAAAGGCUUUUGGAACACCUUAAAAUGUUAAUCUAACAAGUAACAAUACUGAAUUAAAUAUAUACUAUUGCAUUCAAUUAAUUUCCAUUGUACUUAUUAACUCACUUGGUUAAGGGUAUUUCAAAACAGAUUAUUCAUGCUGCUUGAGUGGGAACCCUGGAAGGCAUAUUACACUGGAUGGCCCUGUGUGGCUCAGUUGGUAGAGCAUGACGCUUGCAACCUCAGCGUUAUGGGUUUGAUUCCCACAGGGGAACAUGUAUGCACUCACUACUGUAAAUCGCUCUGGAUAAUAUAAUCUGCUAAAUGACUCAAAUGUAAAUAUGACACCAAAGACUGAUUGCCACGAGAGCAUUAGGAGGCUCUGAAUGUGAAAGAA